rnacentral:rRNA from 1 species
UACGUAGGGUGCAAGCGUUGUCCGGAAUUAUUGGGCGUAAAGAGCUCGUAGGCGGUUCGUCGCGUCGGCUGUGAAAUCCCGAGGCUCAACCUCGGGUCUGCAGUCGAUACGGGCGGACUGGAGUUCGGCAGGGGAGACUGGAAUUCCUGGUGUAGCGGUGAAAAUGCGCAGAUAUCAGAGGAACACCGGUGGCGAAGGCGGGUCUCUGGGCCGAUACUGACGCUGAGGAGCGAAAGCGUGGGGAGCAAACAGG